GUACACGCUGUGACUAGCAUAUCAAUAAGCGGAGGAAAAGAAACUAACAAGGAUUCCCCUAGUAACGGCGAGUGAAGCGGGAAGAGCUCAAAUUUGAAAUCUUAAAGGGUUUCCCUUUGCGAAUUGUAGUUUAAAGAAGUGUUUUCUGUUGAGGUUUUGGUAAAAGUUCUUUGGAAUAGGACAUCAUAGAGGGUGAGAAUCCCGUAUUUGACCUUUACUUUCAACUUUGUGAUACACUUUCAAAGAGUCGGAUUGUUUGGGAAUGCAGUCCAAAAUGGGUGGUAAAUUUCAUCUAAAGCUAAAUAUUGGCGAGAGACCGAUAGCGAACAAGUACCGUGAGGGAAAGAUGAAAAGAACUUUGAAAAGAGAGUUAAACAGUACGUGAAAUUGUCAAAAGGGAAGCGUUUGACACCAGUGUUGUUUUUCUGAAAAUCAAUUAAAGAACUGUUUAUGCUAAGCUGUUUAGACUUUAUCAGCUAAUCUGUUUAGUUUUGAGCUUUUCUUUAAUGCACUUUUCAGUUAACAAGUCAACAUCAAUUUCUUUUGCUGUAAAAAAGCUUGAGGAAGGUGGCUUGAGAUUCGUCUUAAGUGUUUAUAGCCUCUUGCCUAUGCAGUCGGAGAGAUUGAGGUCUGCAGCGUAGAUCCUUCGGGGCUAAAUGCAUUUGUGCUAAGUUAUAGCAUUUUAUAGACAACUUGUUGACUAUGAUUUGUCUUGUAGCUUACUCGCUUAUGUUAUUUUACCUACGCUUAGGAUGUUGACGCGCGUGUGUGCGUG
rnacentral:rRNA from 1 species